GGACAAGAAUUUGGUGGCUAUGCUACUCAGGUUAAGUAUGGACUUAAUCGAGUCACAUGCACUCUACCCCGCAUCUAUCAGCUUGCACAAGGUGGAACUGCGGUUGGGACAGGAUUAAACACCAAGAAAGGGUUUGAUGUAAAGAUAGCUGCUGCAGUAGCCG